rnacentral:rRNA from 1 species
AUAGCGUAUAUUAAAGUUGUUGCAGUUAAAAAGCUCGUAGUUGAACUUUGGGUCUGGGUGACUGGUCUCCCUUACUGGGUGCACUGAGAACCCGGACCUUUCCUUCUGGCAAACCUCAUGCCCUUUACUGGGUGUGUUGGGGAACCAGGACUUUUACUUUGAAAAAAUUAGAGUGUUCAAAGCAGGCAUUUGCUCGAAUACAUUAGCAUGGAAUAAUAGAAUAGGACGUGCGGUUCUAUUUUGUUGUUUUCUAGGACCGCCGUAAUGAUUAAUAGGGAUAGUCGGGGGCAUCAGUAUUCAAUCGUCAGAGGUGAAAUUCUUGGAUUGAUUGAAGACUAACUACUG